CCUACGGGUGGCAGCAGUGAGGAAUAUUGGUCAAUGGGCUUACGCCUGAACCAGCCAAGUCGCGUGAGGGAAGAAUGCCCUAUGGGUUGUAACCCUCUUUUGUCAGGGAGAAACGCCUGCUACGUGUAGACGGACUGAGAGUACCUGAAGAAAAAGCAUCGGCAAACUCCGUGCCAGCGGCCGCGGUACUAAGGAGGUUGCGUGCGUUAUCCGGAUUUAUUGGGUUAAAAGGGUGUGUGGGCGGAAUAUCAAGUCAGCGGUAAAAAUUCGGGGCUAAACCCCGGCGUGCCGUUGAAACUGAUGGUCUUGAGUGGGCGAGAAGUAAGCGGAAUGCGUGGUGUAGCGGUGAAAUGCAUAGAUAUCACGCAGAACUCCGAUGGCGAAGGCAGAUUACCGG
rnacentral:rRNA from 1 species